UACGUAGGGUGCAAGCGUUAAUCGGAAUUACUGGGCGUAAAGCGUGCGCAGGCGGUUAUGCAAGACCGAUGUGAAAUCCCCGGGCUCAACCUGGGAACUGCAUUUGUGACUGCAUGGCUGGAGUGCGGCAGAGGGGGAUGGAAUUCCGCGUGUAGCAGUGAAAUGCGUAGAUAUGCGGAGGAACACCGAUGGCGAAGGCAAUCCCCUGGGCCUGCACUGACGCUCAUGCACGAAAGCGUGGGGAGCAAACAGG
rnacentral:rRNA from 1 species